AGCCACAGUCAAGAAGAGAGUCUUGCACUUCACAUAUCAUCAAAUUUUCAAAAAACCACCACAUUAAUGCUGCCUGUCUAGUGUAUUCAACCAUUAUCCAAGCUACCACCUUUCACCACCUCUGAGAGCCAGAUCUCCCAAGUAGAACAUCCAUCGCAGUUCAAUCUGAACGCAUUUAUCAAUAAAGAUCUUUUUGCUUUGCAGGAGCCAAAUUAACUCUCGUAGUGAUGACAUCCUUGCAGAACAGAUUUAGAGUCAAUUCAAUUCAUCAGAGUUCUACAGCUUCUGGAUAUAUUGAGAUUCAAGUUCACAGAUCAAAUCAGCACCAUCAAUAACUACCACUGAU
rnacentral:sRNA from 1 species